UACGGAGGGUGCGAGCGUUGUCCGGAAUCACUGGGCGUAAAGGGCGCGUAGGCGGCUUGGGAAGUCUGUGGUGAAAGCUCGUGGCUCAACUGCGAGUCGGCCAUAGAUACUCCUAAGCUCGAGUCGACUAGAGGCAGAUGGAAUUCCGGGUGUAGCGGUGGAAUGCGUAGAGAUCCGGAAGAACACCGGUGGCGAAAGCAGCUCUCUGGGACGGUACUGACGCUGAGACGCGAAAGCGUGGGGAGCGAACAGG
rnacentral:rRNA from 1 species